ACCGGCACCGCCCACGCCCCUCGGCACCAUGGAAACGCCUGGAACCGCCCCUGCCCGGAGCUGAUUGGCUCAGCCCAGAAGCCGCGCCCGCGGUCCCGCCUCGGCUGGCCACGCCUGCCUGCCGCUGCUGGGGGGCGGGGCCCAAGCUGAUGUCACGUGGUGUCCGAUCCAUACCCGGAAGUGCACCGGAAACAGAAAGCUGCGCCCCAGUGCCGGGGCCCGCACUCAGCACAGUUCCAGCUUCACCACAGCUACAGCCAAGGCAAUCCCAGCCCCAAGGAACCACACAGCACAAAGAAACCUUCAAGGCACGAUCUCCAUAGAGACAACCAAAGUCUUCACCUAACACCAGCUCCAGCUCCACCACCACUCCUAUCAAACGCCAUCCCAGGACAUGUUAGCUUCAGACAACAAACCCUGAUAAAAAAUGCAAACAUGUCUACUUCAACCCACAGUAUUAUCUUCAUUCAUUUAAAUGAACAGGAUUAGGAAAAUCAGCACAUGGAGAACUGAAAGGCAGUUGUUUAUGAAACCUUCUAUCCACAUGGAUCUACAUUGACUAUCUGCUUCUUGUGGUGAUGAAGAUUGCUCCAAGGAUGCAGUUACAGCUGUUUGAUCCCACUAGAGACAUAAAGACCCUACAGCAAGAAGACGAAUGGGUCAUCAAACCUGGGCAGUAUUUUAGAGGGUUAAAGAGAAAAUAGUCUUUUCAAGAGAAUGAGUACCUCCUUAAAAGGAUAUGUAGGAGAUUUGUGUCAGAAACCAUAUUGGACAGUAAUUAUCCUAAUAUUAGUAAAAUUUCCAUUAACUUUCA